GAGUUUGAUCCUGGCUCAGAUUGAACGCUGGCGGCAGGCCUAACACAUGCAAGUCGAGCGGUAGAGAGAAGCUUGCUUCUCUUGAGAGCGGCGGACGGGUGUGUAAUGCCUAGGAAUCUGCCUGGUAGUGGGGGAUAACGCUCGGAAACGGACGCUAAUACCGCAUACGUCCUACGGGAGAAAGCAGGGGACCUUCGGGCCUUGCGCUAUCAGAUGAGCCUAGGUCGGAUUAGCUAGUUGGUGAGGUAAUGGCUCACCAAGGCGACGAUCCGUAACUGGUCUGAGAGGAUGAUCAGUCACACUGGAACUGAGACACGGUCCAGACUCCUACGGGAGGCAGCAGUGGGGAAUAUUGGACAAUGGGCGAAAGCCUGAUCCAGCCAUGCCGCGUGUGUGAAGAAGGUCUUCGGAUUGUAAAGCACUUUAAGUUGGGAGGAAGGGCAGUAAAUUAAUACUUUGCUGUUUUGACGUUUACCGACAGAAUAAGCACCGGCUAACUCUGUGCCAGCCGCC
rnacentral:rRNA from 1 species